UCCAAUGUGGUGUGGUGGUCAACAUUACCGUCUUUCAUUUAUGAGAAGGACUUUCAUACACAGCAGCCCGGGGUUCGAUUCCCCGACCUGGAA